CCUACGGGAUGCAGCAGUAGGGAAUUUUCGGCAAUGGGGGGAACCCUGACCGAGCAACGCCGCGUGAACGAGGAAGGUCCUUGGAUCGCAGAGUUCUGUUGUAAGGGAAUAAACCAUCACACAGGGAAUGGUGUGAUGCUGACGGUACCUCCAGAACAAGCCCCGGCUAACUACGUGCCAGCAGCCGCGGUAAGACGUAGGGGGCGAGCGUUGUCCGGAUUUACUGGGUGUAAAGGGCGCGUAGGCGGGAAUGCAAGUCAGAUGUGAAAUCCAUGGGCUCAACCCAUGAACUGCAUUUGAAACUGUGUUUCUUGAGUGAUGGAGAGGCAGGCGGAAUUCCUAGUGUAGCGGUGAAAUGCGUAGAUAUUAGGAGGAACACCAGUGGCGAAGGCGGCCUGCUGGACAUCAACUGACGCUGAUGCGCGAAAGCGCGGGGAGCA
rnacentral:rRNA from 1 species